UACGAGGGGGGCAAGCGUUGUUCGGAAUUAUUGGGCGUAAAGGGCGCGUAGGCGGUGCGGUAAGUCACCUGUGAAAACUCUGGGCUCAACUCAGAGCCUGCAGGCGAAACUGCCGUGCUGGAGUGUGGGAGAGGUGCGUGGAAUUCCCGGUGUAGCGGUGAAAUGCGUAGAUAUCAUUUGGAACGCCAAAGGUGAAAACAGCUCGCUGGGGUUGUGCUGACGCUGAGACACGAAAGCCAGGGUAGCGAACGGG
rnacentral:rRNA from 1 species